rnacentral:rRNA from 1 species
AUGCACGCUGGCGGCGUGCCUAAUCCAUGCAAGUCGCGCGCACGGACGAGAAGCUUGCUUCUCUGAUGUUAGCGGCGGACGGGUGAGUAACACGUGGAUAACCUACCUAUAAGACUGGGAUAACUUCGGGAAACCGGAGCUAAUACCGGAUGAUAUUUUGAACCGCAUGGUUCAAAAGUGAAAGACGGUCUUGCUGUCACUUAUAGAUGGAUCCGCGCUGCAUUAGCUAGUUGGUAAGGUAACGGCUUACCAAGGCAACGAUGCAUAGCCGACCUGAGAGGGUGAUCGGCCACACUGGAACUGAGACACGGUCCAGACUCCUACGGGAGGCAGCAGUAGGGAAUCUUCCGCAAUGGGCGAAAGCCUGACGGAGCAACGCCGCGUGAGUGAUGAAGGUCUUCGGAUCGUAAAACUCUGUUAUUAGGGAAGAACAUAUGUGUAAGUAACUGUGCACAUCUUGACGGUACCUAAUCAGAAAGCCACGGCUAACUACGUG